rnacentral:ncRNA from 1 species
ACCUGAGGAAAAAAUCAUUGCCUUUGAUAUUGCAAUGCUUAUUCACACAAUUCAUCCAUAUUUGCUUGCAAAGAAUUUUGUCUGUUUGAAGACUAAAAUGACAUUUGCUACUUAAAGUUGAUCUGAGUGUGAAAUCUAGAAUCCAGUUUUACACAUCUUUGGAAUUAUUUCUAGGAAGGGUAUAACUAGCCCUGAAAAUGGAUGGCGCUGGAGCGCCGGGCCCAUACCCAGCUGUCGCCGGCAGUUCGAGGCCCGUGGGAACUAGGCCGCGACGAGUAGGAGGGCCGCUGUGGUGCGCCUCGAAGUCUGGGGCGUGGGUCCGGGUGGAGCCGCCGCAGGUGCAGAUCUCGGUGGUAGUAGCAAAUAUUCAGGGUGUUGGGCGGUGUGGCGCCCGCCGCAGGUGCAGAUCUCGGUGGUAGUAGCAAAUAUUCAAACGAGAGCUUUGAAGGCUGAAGUGGAGCAGGGUUCCAUGUGAACAGCAGUUGAACAAGGGUCAGUCGGUCUUAAGUGAUAGGCGAGCGCUGUUCCCAAAGGGCGGGCGAUGGCCUGCGUUGCCCUCCGCCGAUCAAAAGGGAGUUGGGUUCAGAUCCCCAAAUCCGGAGUAAAAAUUGUAUUUUUUUUUGACCUGGACAAGCUCGAGAGGUG